GAUUGUGAAGCCCACACGAGCAAGGAAAAGGGAGGGUUUGCAUCAGAUUCAUUCAAUUCACUCCUCAUGUUCGUUCUAGCCUCUCCUUCUCAAAUCUCCUUCACCGGAUUAUUGCUCCGCCACAUUGGAGGCAGCACAGUCAGUCCAAACCACCAAAUAACGGACUCAAACUAAUCCUCUCCACACGCUCCUUCUUAACCUCAUAUCAAGUCAACUUAAAACCUAACUAAAUUUCACAAUCAAAACCAAAAGUAUACGAACCCUAACCAAUGAAACCAAAAUUAAAUUGAAACAAAGAGGAAUCAAGCCAUUCCACCUUGGGGGUUUGAUUCCCCUCAAUGAAGUCUACAAGAUGGUAAAUAAAUUGAAGCAAACAGAGCAAGAACGACCAAACUUCAAGGCGGAGAUUUAUCUUAAAUCGUUGCAACCUGAAGAUGAUGGAGACGAAGAAAACCAGAGGUAAGCACAACUUAAUCCUUCAACCUUUUCUUUUGCAUUGAAAUUAUUCUCCUUCUUCUUAAAACGCUUAGUUCGUAGGUUGUGAUUUAUGCGAUUUGUUGUUGAAUGCGCGUGUAAGAGGAGAGUGAUGGAGAGAUGAAGGUAGUUGCAGAGAGUGAUUCAGGGUGAGUGGAAUUGAGAGAAUCUGAAUUACUGGAAGGAGAUUUAAGAGUGAUUUUUGGAAUGUGAUUCUGCAGAAAAUGAUCGGUCCAUGAUUGAAGGAGAUUGAAGAUUAUAUAGAGAGUGAUGAUGUAACUAACUCGGGAAAGCUAUGGGGCAGGGGUGGUUGAAGGUUAGGGCAUUGUUUCUGUUAAUGGUUUUCAUGAAGAAGUUUGUUAAUACUUUUAACUCUGUUAAGUUCUGUUAGAUUAGGUGCAAUUAGAAAAUAGAAUUGGAGUGUUAGUUUUGAUGCUUUGAAUUGUUUGGCUGAUUUUUAUUUCAAGUGUUUAUGAAUGAAAUUAGUUAUGGGUGCAGUUAGUUCAUUGGGUUUGAAGUUAGUUAUGGUGAGAAUUAACAGUUAGGUUAGUGAUAUGCUGGAAACUAGGGGCUUUUAGAGUGAAUUGAAGUUAGUCAUGGUUAGUGAAUUGAAUUCAGAAGAUUGCAGUCAAUGUUUAGAAUUGUGGUACUUGAUAGGUUACAUUAGUUGAUGUAUGAUAUUAGUUAAAGUUAGCCACUGCAUUGUUUUUGAAGGUUAGUGAAUUAGAUUAGUGAAGAAGAUUAGGACAAUUAAGGUGAGUUAGUAAAGUGGGAUGACUUUGGAUAGUAUGCUUGUGGCUGUUGCAUUUGAAACCGGUUGAGUAAGUGAUAUGAGGACAUAUAUUGAAAUGAGAUAUUUUAUGUUGAAUUGGAUUGUUAGGAGUUAUUGUGAAAUAGGAUAGCCGAAUCAUUUAUGUUAAAUUCAAAAGAAUACAGUUAAGACUAUUAGUGACUGAAACAGAAGUUAGUGAGUUGAAUUGUUAUGGAAAGUUAUCUUGAGGAAAACCUUGAAUUGAGAUGAAUUAAGUUAUGUUGACAUUGAGUUGGCUUAGGAAUUGUAUGAUUCAAGUGGAGUGGAACUUUGAUGUCAAUGAAUCAUUUGAAGUUAGAAAUGAAUUGGAAAUUUGGAAUGUUAAAGUGAUGACUAUUAAUAGUUGUUAAUAGAAAGAGUUGUGAGUUUGUUUGUUUUAAUUAAAAAAAGUCAUGAAACUUGCUUGAUAUGGAAGUUAAUAAGUUGGUUAGAACUACUUUGAAUGCUAGAUUUGUUAAGUUGUGGAAUUAGUUGGAUUGUGACUGAGCAUUUGCUAUGGUUAGUAAUAAACAGUAAAAAAGAAAAGAAGUUAGUUAAUAGUGCAAGUUGAAUAAAAAAUAGUAAUUUAGAAGUUAUGUGAAUUUGGAACUGGAACUGUUUUAAGUUUCCAGGUAUGAAGAGUUUGGUAAUCAGUUUUACGAGAUAUAUAACAUAGAGUUUCUUAGCUUUGUCUGACAAAAUUAUCAUAUUUUGCAGAUUAUGGUGAAUGGAAUUAAGAUGCAGUCGGGUGCACAUGUACAACAUAAAUACCAAGUUGCUCCAUAAAUGUGCAAACUUUAGAGGCAAGGGCCCUUCCACUUUUGGCAUCCUCUUCAUCAUAUUCAUUUAUGCUAAGAACCUCUCCAUCAUAAGUUACAUCACUCACAUCCUUAUCCACAAAAGUAGCGUCACAUUUUAAAGAGGUCGAUCCACCUUGAUUGGAAGUAACAACAUCAGAAUUUCCUUAAAACCCAAUCAAUUUGAGCAAUGAAAUUGGAAUAUGACUUCGCCACAUGUAUGUCAAUAAAGCAUUAUCAAGUAAUAACAAUGAAAAGUUGUUACUGGGUUGAAAAGGAGUUGUCAUGAAAUUGGAUUGACCUAUGCACAAGUGUAACUGGUUAGUGUUAGGGAUUGCCAUGAAAUUAUGCAGGCUUUGAAUUAAAUGCCACUGUCAUGAGAAGUUGUAUGAGUUGUUAGCAUGAGUUGUGUAAGGACCAUCAAUGGAUAGUUAACUGCCAUGUGAAUUUUAAUUAUGGAAUGUUAGCACUAAUGUUUGGAAUGGUAUGUUGCAUGAUUUUGAUGUGAGGUUAGUUAAAAAUUGGUUACAAUAUAUGUGGACUAUUGGAAUGUUAUGUGAUAUAAAAAUUGGGAAUGAUAUGUGAAAUUAGUUUGUGUUGAAUGCUUGGGUGGAAUUUGAAGUGUAUUAAAAUAGGUCGAAAUGUAUUGGAUGUUUGAUGUGAAAAAGAGUUAAUUAGUGACUAGCUUGUGAAUGAAUUGUUCACUAUUGAAAUAAUAUGGCUACUUGAACUGGUGUAAUGAAUGGGUUAAGUUUGAACUGAGUUUGUCAUUGUUAUGGAAUUGAAAUGAGUUGUCAAAUUAAAACGAAUUGUUGUCAUGGAUUGGCUUAUGAAUGAAUAAGAAGUAGGAUAGGAUUUAGGAUAGGUAGUUGACUUUGGGGAGCUGUUUGAUCAAAAAGUCAAUACUUGAUCAAAAGUCAAUCGUAGGUCAACAGUGUAAUUUUUUGUUUAAUCUUGAUUUUGAACCCUUUGUAAUGGAAUGUUGAAUGUUCUUAGUAAUAAAAUGGUGUUUGAAAUGAAUUAUGUCUCGUGUUCUAAUAAAAAUAGUUUCCUUUUGAAGCUUGGUUUGAAUAUUUCAAAUAGUACUUGAAUAUGCAUUUGAAUUGCAAUGUCUUAUCUUGAAUCCACACCAAAUGACCAAUGAACUAGUGGAUUGAAUAAGUGCAUAAAGAGAUUAGCCAGUCAAAGUCCAUUUCUCCUAGUUGCCCAAGCAAAAAAUACAAUCCAUAAUCAAUUCCAAUGCCAUAAUGCAAUCCAUAGUAACCAAAGUCCAAGAAUUAGGAUUUUACAAAGAUUAUAGCCUAAGAGAUGCACAUCCCAGGUCAAGGGAUCACCAAGAUUCCAUAGGUUUCAUCCUCAGAGGAACCCUAGCUCAAUGUUAGGCAUAAAUAACAAGGACCUUUAAAUUAAUGAUGCUUGUUUGAAAAUGAAACGGUAAAUGAAUAUCUUAUGACGGAUGAUUAGGACAUGUGAAUAUUUAUAUGAAAUGAGCCAUGAGUCAGAUGAAAAGUAGAAAGAAGUAG
rnacentral:lncRNA from 1 species